CCCACCGCCACCCAUCCUGGGUGAGUCAGGCUGGUCCACCUGGGGACAGUGCUGGGAGGUGAGGCCGGGGGCGAACGGCUCUGCAGGACGCCCAGGCUCCCCGGGCCCGGGAGGUGCAAGGCAGGGGACCUAGUGUGCAAUGGCUACCAGCAGUAGUCCCCUUAGGAACACAUGCAGUCUCUUGCCUGUAUGGGUUCUCUAAGGAACACUGAUGUUGGAUACGCGUGCCUGUGAUCUCACACUGUCCCCAGUUGAGGCUCCAGACAGAAGGAAGCAUGGAAUUGCUGCUAGAGGGACUGAUGGAAGACAUGCACAACACUACAGAUAAAUGAUGUCCAGGGUCUCUUGGUUUUCUGAAGAGAAUAUUUUCCUGCAAAGACAAGAACAGAACCCUGCUCCAACCCUUAUGAGGUUUCCUUACCACCUGGUUUGGUUUUUCCUCUGUGAAUGAGCCAUCAUUUCUCUUUCUCAAGAGAUUUCUCUUUAUCAAACUGAAUCUUUAUUAAUUUUGAUGGUAUC